ACUCAAAGGAAUUGACGGGGACCCGCACAAGCGGUGGAGCAUGUGGUUUAAUUCGAAGCAACGCGAAGAACCUUACCAGGCCUUGACAUAUCUUGCAAUACUGCAGAGAUGUAGUGGAGGAUAACAGGAAUACAGGUGGUGCAUGGUUGUCGUCAGUUCGUGUCGUGAGAUGUUUGGUUAAGUCCAGUAACGAACGCAACCCCUGUCCUUAGUUGCCAGCAUUAAGUUGGGGACUCUAAGGAGACUGCUAGUGUAAGCUAGAGGAAGGUGGGGAUGACGUCAAAUCAUCAUGCCCCUUAUGGCCUGGGCUACACACGUGCUACAAUGGCUGAUACAAAGAGCAGCAAACCUGCGAAGGCUAGCAAAUCUCAAAAAAUCAGUCUCAGUCCGGAUUGAAGUCUGCAACUCGACUUCAUGAAGUCGGAAUCGCUAGUAAUCGCGAAUCAGCAAUGUCGCGGUGAAUACGUUCUCGGGUCUUGUACACACCGCCCGU
rnacentral:rRNA from 1 species